rnacentral:tRNA from 3 species
GGAGCGGUGGAUGAGCGGUUUAAGUCACACGCCUGGAAAGCGUGCGUGGGGUAAUACCCACCGCGGGUUCGAAUCCCGCCUGCUCCGCCA